CCAACUGGGGGGCGUCAUAGUGCAGCCGGCCGGCGUUUAUUUGCAAACGCUGAUUGGUAAUUCGACACUAAGUGUGAAGUCACGUACCAUUUCCGGUUUUUUUUUUACGUAAGCGAAACGUAAUACAGGUACUCCUAAAAAAAAAAUCGCUCCAAAAGUUACGCAUAUGAUAAUGUAGCCUGCUGGGAAAGUAUUUGUCACUUUCAAAGUACCCCUUUUGGACUCCAAAAGGUAGCUUUCGUACUUAAUUGGAGCAUUGUUGAGAUUUCAUGCUACAGUAAUUCGUUUUGUUGAUACUCGCCAUUGUUUAUUUUUUGCCUAACUGUGAGAAAAAUCAUGCGAUUCGUUACGUCACUUCCGUAAACAUCUAUUGGUGCUCUCAGAUCAAAAUUUACACAUUUGGAAUACUUGCGGCCAUAAAGUAGCACUAAUAUUGACAUAUGCAGAGCCAAAACGACAGCAAAAACAUCGGAAAGGUGUUUUCUCAAAUUAGAAGUGGGCCGAAACGUCUGGAAGAAGAAAAAAAAACAAACUACGUUGCAGCUGUAGUUUUACGUAGUUUGGAACGUAAACACGAGUCCAACGCGGUUGUCACGACUCACUGCGAUUGGCCCAAUCGAAGACUUUGUUUGUGGACAUGUGACUUUCUUGUGUCGUUUGAUUGGUGACCUGGGGUCAAAAGUCAUUGAACCAUAGAGGAUUGGCGCAAAAAUUAAAAAGUAGAUACAAAUAGAUCAUCCUCGUAAUUAUUGAUAAAUUAAAGUAGCAUGUAUAUUAUGGAGAGGUUUCCGAUUACGUCAACACAAUCCCACGAUUCCCCUUUUCUACGACGUCAUAACUCUUAGACCAAUCGGAUAGAUUAACGAUAGAAAAAAACUUUUCACCUAUCACCUGUGUUCUCUGAUCUUUAAGACACGCAAAGAUGGCGGCCGUCGCAAGGCGUGACGGGUAAUUGCAAAGUACUGUUUCUUUGCAUAGUCUAAAAGUACAAGACAGGAACUGUGCUGCUCUUUGCUUGUGUGACAUCAUGGAGAAAUACUUCCUGGAAUGGAUAGACAGACAUAGACAAAGAAAGAGGGAGGCCAUCGUCAAGGCAGCAUCGCCCGCUCCCCGCCCCUCCUCGGCUCGGUUUCGUACUCUCAUCAUUAUUGUGUGUGUGUGUGUGUGUGUGGGGGGGUGUUGGAAAAGAGGAAGUUGUGUUCUGCGGCCUUAAGAAACAGGAAGUCAGGCAAAACAUGGCACACCCUUCAUCUAUUUCGUUUUUAAGUACAUUUGCAUUUAAACAUUUGAAACCCCCCCCCUGAAGCUAUGCUAAUGCUACUUCUGAAUGAUGAACGCUAGUGAUUUCCCUUUGAUUAAAAAUGAGACAUCUCUAUCUUGAUAUUAAAUGUUAAGAAAGCUUGCAGAAAAGUUGACCUACCUUUCAGUGUAUUAUUAUGGUUAUAUUUUCUCGAGGCCAGGGGUCAUCAUCACACGGUUCCCCACGAGGCAUGUCGUAAAAAUACCACACGUCACAAAUUCUCAAAAUCUUGACUGCCUUUAUGAAAUUUUCAAAAUAUAUAUUUCUAUUUAUGUACACUCUAAAUUGCCCCUCGGUGUGAUUGUGAGUCCGACUGUUUGUCUCGAUGUGCCCUGCGAUUGGCUGGCAACCAGUUCAGGGUGCGUACACCGCCUCCUGCCCAUUAAUCACUGGGAUAGACCCCGACACUCUGCGACCCUCGUGAGGAUAAGCGGCAAAGAAAAGGGCUGGAUGGAUGGAUUAAGUCAAGCAGAAGAGGCAGGGCGUGUCUUUAUGUCCAUUUUAUUGUCAACAAUCCACAGACAGGUGGAUGAUUGGGAGGCCCGAUCACUUUUUGCCCUCAUCCUCCUUGGACAGGUUCUUGAUGAUUUCUUCCUUCUUGGCCUGGAGGCGCUCCUCUCGGCGUUUGCGGGC